CUCAGCCGACAGACCUGUUGGCGUCGGACCUGACCCCGGACAGCGUCCGCGUGUCGUGGAACGCUCCGUACCCUCCGCACGGCGUGCUGGACCACUACCGGCUCCUGUUCUGGCGCGGCAGCGACAAGUCCAAAGCGACGGAAGUAACCAUCGUGCACGAGGAAUGUCGCCGCAGGCGCCUUUUCGUUGCGAGGCACUGCUAUACUGUCAAAGGCCUGGAACCCCGCAGCGUCUACCGAUUCUCGGUAAGGGCCACCAACAAGGGAACAUCCUAUUCGCCCUACUCCGUGGAGCUCCAGAUAAAAACUAAGGAUUCAGGGCCUCCCCGGGACCUUCACGUUUCAGAGCGGACGGAACACAGCCUGAGGAUCCUGUGGUAUGCGGCCGACGGCAGGAACGAAGAAUACAGGACGUACUUGGUCAAUUCCUCGUUAAUUCACACCUUCGACGAGGGUUUGGAACAAGUCUCGCCACCGCAGUCGUCUGUACUCAACGGAUCCAAAGAGAGAGAAUUCCAUCUUUCCGGGCUUCUCCCCGGAUCGACGUAUCUAGUUUGCGUUCAAGAAAACACAACCGACGGCUUCGGUGAAGCGGCCUGCGCGAACUUCAGCACUAGGC